CACCUGAACUGGCCUCGUGACUGUGGUGACUAGGGUAACAGGUGGAUGAGUGGUGAUGGUCCCCCUGGGUGGUGAGCAGCUUCAUUCCUGGCACCAUAUUUUAGUGAUUUCUUUAUCCCCAGGGCUGGUGCUCGACCCACAGUGUCAGGGUUGAAGUGUGUGGCCCCAAGUCCUUAUGUUGAAGUUUUAGCCCCCAAGUACCCUAGAAUGAGACAUUAUUUGGAGACAAGGUCUUUACAGAGGAAACCAUUUGAAAAGGAGGUCUUGAGUGGGGUGUGGUGGUGCUCAUCUGUAAUCCUAGCUGCUUGGGGGGCUGAGGCCCUUGGUGUCCAGAAGGAAUUGGUUCUAGAACUCUCUGCAGUUCUUAUAUAAAAUGGUAUAGCUUUGCAUGAAACCUACACACAUCCUCCAGAUCACCUGUGAAACCUAGUAAAAUGUAAAUUACAUGUAAAUAACGGUCAUUCUGUGUUGUUUUGGGAAUAACGAUGAGGAAAACAUCUGAACACGUUCAGUACAGAUGCAUUUUUUUUUUUAAUGCUUUGCAACUGCAGAUGCAGAGGCGGGAUGGAGGGCCAAGUGUAUUUGUUUUAAAUAGUAUCUUUUCUUUUAUGAUUUCCUUCCCUUCUCUUCUGGCCUCCCUGGAAUGUCCCUCAUUCUCUCUUUUGAGCAGACAGCUUGCUCUUCAGGAUGAUAAGAGGCGGGUAAGGUUUUGGGAUGUUAAAGAAUUAUGUGAAGCACCGUGAGGCUGAGCCUCAGCUUGGGCUACGGAGCCUGGAGCAGGUGAAGUGGAGCCUGCGAACCUGUGCUGAUCUGCGGGAAUCCAGGGGAGGGCUGCCUCCUCCAGCGAGGCUGAGGGUCCUCUAGAUCUUGGCAGGUGGAUGCUUUAGCAAGGCUGGGGACAUUCUGGCUGUGAGGAUGUUACGAGCCAAGUCUGAGGGCAGCUGAAUGUCUGGGCUCCUGCUGGGGAUGAGGGGGUGAUGGUGGGAGACACAGAGACGGAGACAAGGUACCCCGAGGGUCACCACACAGGCGGUGAGAAGCAAUCAGGAGUCAGCCUGGAGGUGAUGCCGGGAACCUUCUAGAAGGUGGACUGGGUGGUAGUGUCCACUGGGUCAAGAGACAGGAGAAAGAAGGUAGAGAUGCACAAAAGAGGGACUCAGACCCCAGGAGCUGGCUAGACACACAGGCCUGAAGGAGGGGAAGGGCAAAGGGACCCUACCAGGCCCCCAGCGUUCCGUCUGUUUGCUUGGUACUGGGGACCAAACCCAGGGGCGCUUUACCACUGAGCUAUAGCCCCAGCCUUUUUUGUGUUUUUGUUUUGAGGCAGGCAGGGUCUCACUAAAUGCUGAGGCUGGCCUGGAACUUGAGAGCCUCCUGCCUCUGCCUCUGGAGUCCCGCCCGGGAUUACAGCUGCGCACCCCGGCACCUGGCUAAGGCCCUGCACUCUUGACCGAGCUUGACGUGGACUGCACGUCGACUCACAAGAGUUUGAGGCCCGUAGGCACUAGUGACGGCAUUUUAAAAGCCACCUCCGGGUUUUAUAAUGAACAGAGGCGAUGUCCCAUGCACAGUGACGACUAUUUUGCAAAUGAGAAACAGUUGAAUACUGUUUUCUUAAACCUCUCUGACGGAGCUGGGAAGAUGUGGAGGAGCAUGCACACUUACUGCCCUUUGGCAAAGGAAUCUUCUCUUGUCCCAUGUGGAAAGACAUAAAUUUGGGGGACCCCUGCCCCUUCCCUAGGUUUCUGUGGCCCAUGGUUAGCAAACUCCUCAAAUGAAUUUCAAAGUCACUUUCCAAUCAGCUGCAAAACUACUUAAGCCACUCCUUUGUUCUGGUCCUGAAGUCAGAGCGACCCUGUAAACUCCCCAAGCGUCCCGACCAUGAGAAGUCUGAUGGUAAAAUGACAUGUUUGGAAGUCGCUGCGAACGCUGGCAGCUGGACGCGAUGAUAAAUCUGAGCCAUUUCACAUGGUCACUUGGGUCAGUAAUAAAAAACAUGAACUUAAAAUAUAUUUCCUCUUGCCUUUCAUGGCCAUAAAGAUCAAUAAAUUUCAUAAAGUUUCAAGAUAAA